UACAGAGGUCUCAAGCGUUGUUCGGAUUCAUUGGGCGUAAAGGGUGCGUAGGCGGCGCGGUAAGUCGGGUGUGAAAUCUCGGAGCUUAACUCCGAAACUGCAUUCGAUACUGCCGUGCUUGAGGACUGGAGAGGAGACUGGAAUUUACAGUGUAGCGGUGAAAUGCGUAGAUAUCGUAAGGAAGACCAGUGGGCGAAGGCGGGUCUCUGGACAGUUUCC
rnacentral:rRNA from 1 species